GCGGCAGGCUUAACACAUGCAAGUCGAACGCUGUAGCAAUACAGAGUGGCAGACUGGUGAGUAACGCGUGGGAACGUGCCUUUCGGUUCGGAAUAACUCAGGGAAACUUGAGCUAAUACCGGAUACGCCCUUCGGGGGAAAGAUUUAUUGCCGAAAGAUCGGCCCGCGUCCGAUUAGCUAGUUGGUGAGGUAACGGCCCACCAAGGCGACGAUCGGUAGCUGGUCUGAGAGGAUGAUCAGCCACACUGGGACUGAGACACGGCCCAGACUCCUACGGGAGGCAGCAGUGGGGAAUAUUGGACAAUGGGCGCAAGCCUGAUCCAGCCAUGCCGCGUGAGUGAUGAAGGCCCUAGGGUUGUAAAGCUCUUUCGCCAGGGACGAUAAUGACGGUACCUGGAUAAGAAGCCCCGGCUAACUUCGUGCCA
rnacentral:rRNA from 1 species